UUACGGGAGGCAGCAGUGGGGAAUAUUGGACAAUGGGCGAAAGCCAGAUCCAGCCAUGCCGCGUGUGUGAAGAAGGUCUUCGGAUUGUAAAGCACUUUAAGUUGGGAGGAAGGGUAGUAACUUAAUACGUUGCUACUUUGACGUUACCGACAGAGUAAGCACCGGCUAACUUCGUGCCAGCAGCCGCGGUAAUA
rnacentral:rRNA from 1 species